rnacentral:SRP_RNA from 1 species
GAAGAUCGGUGCUGGACGAGUACCUUGCCAACCAGGUCAGAUCCGGAAGGAAGCAGCCAUGGUGAGUUUCGCCCGGGUCAGUAUCGGUCUUCCAC